CGCCGCAGCAUGAGAAAUAACCUUCCACCAUAUAGCAGAAAGCCCAAGGCUGCAAUAACUGAUACAACUGCCAUAAAUAUCUUCCCAAUGAAUUCCACUGUGCUAUUGUCAUUGAUCCAGAGGUAAACCCAGAUACAGGCCUGAAUGAAGUAUAUGGCACCAUUAAUGGCAAUAUAAGAAAUCCUGAGAUAUAUCACCAGGCUAGGAGUUUACCAACAGAUAAGCUCAGGAUUUCUU
rnacentral:misc_RNA from 1 species